GGGGAAUAUUGGACAAUGGGCGAAAGCCUGAUCCAGCCAUGCCGCGUGUGUGAAGAAGGUCUUCGGAUUGUAAAGCACUUUAAGUUGGGAGGAAGGGUUUCUGGCUAAUAUCCAGGAAUUUUGACGUUACCGACAGAAUAAGCACCGGCUAACUUCGUUCCAGCAGCCGCGGUAAUACGAAGGGUGCAAGCGUUAAUCGGAAUUACUGGGCGUAAAGCGCGCGUAGGUGGUUCGUUAAGUUGGAUGUGAAAGCCCCGGGCUCAACCUGGGAACUGCAUCCAAAACUGGCGAGCUAGAGUAUGGCAGAGGGUGGUGGAAUUUCCUGUGUAGCGGUGAAAUGCGUAGAUAUAACGAGGAACUCCGAUUGCGUAGGCAGCUUACUAAGCCAUAACUGACGCUCAAGCACGAAAGCGUGGGGAUCAAACA
rnacentral:rRNA from 1 species